rnacentral:rRNA from 1 species
UACGUAGGGGUCGAGCGUUGUCCGGAGUUACUGGGCGUAAAGCGUGCGCAGGCGGCUCAUCGCGCUCGGCGUGAAAGCCCCCGGCUCAACCGGGGAGGGUCGUCGAGGACGGGUGAGCUUGAGGGUAUCAGGGGUUGGUGGAAUUCCCGGUGUAGUGGUGAAAUGCGUAGAGAUCGGGAGGAACACCCGUGGCGAAGGCGGCCAACUGGGAUACACCUGACGCUGAGGCACGAAGGCGUGGGGAGCGAACAGG